rnacentral:rRNA from 1 species
GAUGAACGCUGGCGGCGUGCCUAAUACAUGCAAGUCGAGCGAACAGACGAGGAGCUUGCUCCUCUGACGUUAGCGGCGGACGGGUGAGUAACACGUGGAUAACCUACCUAUAAGACUGGGAUAACUUCGGGAAACCGGAGCUAAUACCGGAUAAUAUAUUGAACCGCAUGGUUCAAUAGUGAAAGACGGUUUUGCUGUCACUUAUAGAUGGAUCCGCGCCGCAUUAGCUAGUUGGUAAGGUAACGGCUUACCAAGGCAACGAUGCGUAGCCGACCUGAGAGGGUGAUCGGUCACACUGGAACUGAGACACGGUCCAGACUCCUACGGGGGGCAGCAGUAGGGAAUCUUCCGCAAUGGGCGAAAGCCUGACGGAGCAACGCCGCGUGAGUGAUGAAGGCCUUCGGAUCGUAAAACUCUGUUAUUAGGGAAGAACAAAUGUGUAAGUAACUAUGCACGUCUUGACGGUACCUAAUCAGAAAGCCACGGCUAACUACGUG